AGCCCUCUGUAUCCAUGAUGAGAUUUCGUCAGAGAUCAACCCGUUGGCACCGGCUGAUGAUACUUCGCAAAUAAGUGAAGCG
rnacentral:pre_miRNA from 1 species